GGAGGGAUGUCCGAGCGGUUUAAGGAGGCGGUCUUGAAAACCGUUGUAGUUCACGCUACCGUGGGUUCGAAUCCCACUCCCUCCG
rnacentral:tRNA from 2 species